GGAUUCCCCUAGUAACUGCGAGUGAAGAGGGAAAAGCUCAAAUUUAAAAUCUGGCAGUCUUUGAUUGUCCGAGUUGUAAUCUAGAGAAGUGUUAUCCGCGCUGGACCGUGUACAAGUCUCCUGGAAUGGAGCGUCAUAGAGGGUGAGAAUCCCGUCUUUGACACGGACUGCCAGUGCUUUUGUGAUGCGCUCUCAAAGAGUCGAGUUGUUUGGGAAUGCAGCUCAAAAUGGGUGGUAAAUUCCAUCUAAAGCUAAAUAUUGGCGAGAGACCGAUAGCGAACAAGUACCGUGAGGGAAAGAUGAAAAGAACUUUGGAAAGAGAGUUAAACAGUACGUGAAAUUGCUGAAAGGGAAACGCUUGAAGUCAGUCGCGUUAACUAAGGAUCAACCUUGCUUUUGCUGGGCGCACUUCUUAGUUAAUGGGUCAGCAUCAAUUUUGAUCGUUGGAUAAAGUCUGAAGGAAUGUGGCAUCUUAGGAUGUGUUAUAGCCUUUAGUUGUAUACAACGGUUGGGAUUGAGGAACUCAGCACGCCGAAAGGCCGAGUAACUUGUUACUACGUUCGUGCUUAGGAUGCUGGCAUAAUGGCUUUAAUCGACCCGUCUUGAAACACGGACCAAGGAGUCUAACAUGCCUGCGAGUAUUUGGGUGGAAAACUCAAGUGCGUAAUGAAAGUGAAAGUUGAGAUCCUUGUCAUGGGGAGCAUCGACGCCCGGACCAGACCUUUUGUGACGGUUCUGCGGUAGAGCAUGUAUGUUGGGACCCGAAAGAUGGUGAACUAUGCCUGAAUAGGGUGAAGCCAGAGGAAACUCUGGUGGAGGCUCGUAGCGAUUCUGACGUGCAAAUCGAUCGUCAAAUUUGGGUAUAGGGGCGAAAGACUAAUCGAACCAUCUAGU
rnacentral:rRNA from 1 species